AGUUAAUUCUCACAAGCCUAUGGGAUAAAUGCUGUUUUUAUUCCUUGUUUUACAGAUGAGGGAACGGAGGCCCAGAGCCGCUAAGCAACUUGCCCCGGGUCCCAGCGCGGGUGAGCAGUGGGUGGAGAUGCUGUCCAGCGUGCCCCACACCUCUGGGUCAGUUACACUGGGCAGUGGGGCUACAAGUGCUGGACACGAGUCACAGCAGGUGCAAGUCCUCAGGACCCAGAGCAGCCUCUCAGAGCUGCCUGCAGCAGGUGGCACCUGGUCACAGGAGAGGACUUCUGCUCCAAGCCACCCCGCUGGAACCCAGGAGCCAGGACAGGGCCCCACCAUGACCAUCUCGCCGGGCAGGUGAGCUCCGGGCACCUUGUUUAUGUGUUGGGUGGACAGCGAUGCCCCUGAGGCAGAGAUCUGGGGGCUCAGGCCCAGUUCCGCCUCGGCUGUGAGGUGCCGGCUGGGCUCUAGGAGGGAGACCCUGCAUGCUUGGGGUCCUCACUGGAGUGGCAGUUCUGGGGAGUUGUAAGCAUCAGCGGUGACCGAAAUCACAGCCCCAAGUGAACUCUUGCCCAGGAAAUCACUGCAACUACAGAAUCCCAGGUCGGCCCGUCUCUCAGGCUCGGUCGCAGAGGCCCCAGGCAGCUUCGUUACGAGGGCAGCAGACAGGCAAGGGCCCUGACG
rnacentral:lncRNA from 1 species